GACAGAGGAUGCAAGCGUUAUCCGGAAUGAUUGGGCGUAAAGCGUCUGUAGGUGGCUUAAAAAGUCUCCUGUCAAAGAUCAGGGCUUAACCCUGGGCCGGCAGGAGAAACUCUUAGGCUAGAGUUUGGUAGGGGCAGAGGGAAUUCCCGGUAGAGCGGUGAAAUGCGUAGAGAUCGGGAGGAACACCAAAGGCGAAAGCACUCUGCUGGGCCAUAACUGACACUGAGAGACGAAAGCGAGGGGAGCAAAAGGG
rnacentral:rRNA from 1 species